CCUAGUAACUGCGAGUGAAGAGGGAAAAGCUCAAAUUUAAAAUCUGGCAGCUUCGCUGUCCGAGUUGUAAUUUAGAGAAGUGUUACCCGUGUUGGACCGUGUAUAAGUCUCCUGGAAUGGAGCGUCAUAGAGGGUGAGAAUCCCGUCUUUGACACGGACUACCAAUGCAUUGUGGUGCGCUCUCGAAGAGUCGAGUUGUUUGGGAAUGCAGCUCUAAAUGGGUGGUAAAUUCCAUCUAAAGCUAAAUAUUGGCGAGAGACCGAUAGCGAACAAGUACCGUGAGGGAAAGAUGAAAAGAACUUUGGAAAGAGAGUUAAACAGUACGUGAAAUUGCUGAAAGGGAAACGCUUGAAGUCAGUCGCGUUGGCCGGGGAUCAGCCUUGCUUUUGUGAGGUGUACUUCCUGGUUGACGGGUCAGCAUCAGUUUCGACCAUUGGAAAAAGACUUGGGGAAUGUGGCAACUUCGGUUGUGUUAUAGCCCUUUGUCGUAUACAGUGAUUGGGACUGAGGAACUCAGCACGCCGCAAGGCCGGGUUUCGACCACGUUCGUGCUUAGGAUGCUGGCAAAAUGGCUUUAAUCGACCCGUCUUGAAACACGGACCAAGGAGUCUAACAUGCUUGCGAGUGUUUGGGUGGAAAACCCGAGCGCGUAAUGAAAGUGAAAGUUGGGAUCUCUGUCGUGGAGAGCACCGACGCCCGGACCAGAAGUUUACUGACGGAUCUGCGGUAGAGCACGUAUGUUGGGACCCGAAAGAUGGUGAACUAUGCCUGAAUAGGGUGAAGCCAGAGGAAACUCUGGUGGAGGCUCGUAGCGAUUCUGACGU
rnacentral:rRNA from 1 species